rnacentral:tRNA from 2 species
GCCGAUGUAGCUCAGCUGGUCAGAGCUACUGAUUUGUAAUCAGUAGGUCGGGGGUUCGAAUCCCUCCAUCGGCU